rnacentral:rRNA from 1 species
GAAAGUUGAUCAUGGCUCAGGAUGAACGCUGGCGGCGUGCUUAACACAUGCAAGUCGAACGAUGAAGCAGCUUGCUGUGGAUUAGUGGCGAACGGGUGAGUAACACGUGAGUAACCUGCCCUUAACUCUGGGAUAAGCCUGGGAAACUGGGUCUAAUACCGGAUAGAGCGUCCACCGCAUGGUGGGUGUUGGAAAGAUUUAUCGGUUUUGGAUGGACUCGCGGCCUAUCAGCUUGUUGGUGAGGUAAUGGCUCACCAAGGCAACGACGGGUAGCCGGCCUGAGAGGGUGACCGGCCACACUGGGACUGAGACACGGCCCAGACUCCUACGGGAGGCAGCAGUGGGGAAUAUUGCACAAUGGGCGCAAGCCUGAUGCAGCGACGCCGCGUGAGGGAUGACGGCCUUCGGGUUGUAAACCUCUUUCAGUAGGGAAGAGAAUGACGGUACCUGCAGAAGAAGCACCGGCUAACUACGUGCCAGCAGCCGCGGUAAUACGUAGGGUGCGAGCGUUAUCCGGAAUUAUUGGGCGUAAAGAGCUCGUAGGCGGUUUGUCGCGUCUGUCGUGAAAGUCCGGGGCUUAACCCCGGAUCUGCGGUGGGUACGGGCAGACUAGAGUGCAGUAGGGGAGACUGGAAUUCCUGGUGUAGCGGUGGAAUGCGCAGAUAUCAGGAGGAACACCGAUGGCGAAGGCAGGUCUCUGGGCUGUAACUGACGCUGAGGAGCGAAAGCAUGGGGAGCGAACAGGAUUAGAUACCCUGGUAGUCCAUGCCGUAAACGUUGGGCACUAGGUGUGGGGACCUUCCAGUUUCCGCGCCGCAGCUAACGCAUUAAGUGCCCCGCCUGGGGAGUACGGCCGCAAGGCUAAA